GACGAACGCUGGCGGCGUGCUUAAUACAUGCAAGUGGAGCGACGAACCAGGCUUCGGCCUGGGGCAGAGCCGCGAACGGGUGAGUAACACGUGGGUAACCUGCCUCGAUGACCGGGACAACCCGGGGAAACCCGGGCUAAUACCGGAUGUGCUGUCCCCACAUCAGUGGAGACAGGAAAGGAAGCUUCGGCCUCCGCAUCGAGAUGGGCCCGCGGCCCAUUAGCUUGUUGGUGUGGAACGGCUCACCAAGGCUGCGAUGGGUAGCUGGUCUGAGAGGACGAUCAGCCACACUGGGACUGAGACACGGCCCAGACUCCUACGGGAGGCAGCAGUAGGGAAUCUUGCGCAAUGCGCGAAAGCGUGACGCAGCAACGCCGCGUGGGGGAAGAAGGCCU
rnacentral:rRNA from 1 species